rnacentral:snoRNA from 1 species
UUGCAGCCAAUUAAGCCGACUGUGCUCUUUUCCCCAUGGGGGCCCAGUGUGCAAUGGCUGCAAACAGCAGCCUCCUUGGUAGUGCAUGCAACCUGUUGCCUGUACAGGUAGCCCUAAGGGACCUUGGAGACAACU